UCUCGCGUGGGACGUGGUCCCGGCAGUGGGCGUGGCGGCCGACGAUGCAGCGCGGUGAGCGGUACUCCGGUUCGGGGCCGGAUGCGAGGAC
rnacentral:tRNA from 1 species